rnacentral:rRNA from 1 species
GAUGAACGCUGGCGGCGUGCCUAAUACAUGCAAGUCGAGCGGAGAAAAGAAGCUUGCUUCUUUUCUUAGCGGCGGACGGGUGAGUAACACGUAAGUAAUCUGCCUUAUAGACUGGGAUAACAUCGAGAAAUCGGUGCUAAUACCGGAUGAUAAUUUUGUUCGCAUGAAUGAAAUUUGAAAGUUGGCUUUUAGCUAACACUACAAGAUGAGCUUGCGGCGCAUUAGCUAGUUGGUGAGGUAACGGCUCACCAAGGGGACGAUGCGUAGCCGACCUGAGAGGGUGAUCGGCCACACUGGGACUGAGACACGGCCCAGACUCCUACGGGAGGCAGCAGUAGGGAAUUUUCCACAAUGGACGAAAGUCUGAUGGAGCAACGCCGCGUGUGCGAAGAAGGCCUUCGGGUUGUAAAGCACUGUUGUAAGGGAAGAAUGGGUGAGAGAGGAAAUGCUCUUGCUAUGACGGUACCUUACCAGAAAGCCACGGCUAACUACGUGCCAGCAGCCGCGGUAAAAC